rnacentral:rRNA from 1 species
GACGAACGCUGGCGGCGUGCUUAACACAUGCAAGUCGAACGGAAAGGCCCUGCUUUUGUGGGGUGCUCGAGUGGCGAACGGGUGAGUAACACGUGAGUAACCUGCCCUUGACUUUGGGAUAACUUCAGGAAACUGGGGCUAAUACCGGAUAGGAGCUCCUGCUGCAUGGUGGGGGUUGGAAAGUUUCGGCGGUUGGGGAUGGACUCGCGGCUUAUCAGCUUGUUGGUGGGGUAGUGGCUUACCAAGGCUUUGACGGGUAGCCGGCCUGAGAGGGUGACCGGACCCAUUGGGACUGAGAUACGGCCCAGACUCCUACGGGAGGCAGCAGUGGGGAAUAUUGCACAAUGGGCGGAAGCCUGAUGCAGCAACGCCGCGUGCGGGAUGACGGCCUUCGGGUUGUAAACCGCUUUCGCCUGUGACGAAGCGUGAGUGACGGUAAUGGGUAAAGAAGCACCGGCUAACUACGUG